GCCUGUGACAAACUCAGUUUCACAGUGCUCAUAUACUUCUGUUUUUGCUGCAGACAGGAAGUCAAUAAACUAAUCAGUAUUUGUCAAAGCAAUGGAGGAAAUUUAUGCGAAUGUUGAUCCUGUUAAACCUGUCAGCCAAAUUCUUACUCCAAGCAACAGAGAUUCUAGCAGCUCCAAGAAGAAGAUCUAUUUGGUUGUUCUUAUCUCUCUGGGACUCCUGAAUGUUCUCCUGCUGACUGGACUCAUCAGCCUUGGUGUCCAUUCUCGUGAUGUAGGCAGUUUGGCUGCAGGUCUCUCCAACAUCAAAGACAAUCUGACUGAUCGUCUACAGGCCAGCAAUGACCAGCUGAGUUUCAUGACUGAACAAAGAGACCUGCUGAAAGCAAACCUUACAGAAAUGUCCAAAGAACUGAUCAGACUUCAGAGUUUGUCCAAGAAAAGUAAAAAAAACAUGUUCUGCAGGAUGGAGUAUGUUCGGCUGUUCCUGUUACUAUCUCUCUACAAGCUCUGGCUCCUGGGAUGAAGGCAGAAAGGACUGCGGGAACAGAGGAGGAGAUCUGUUGGUGAUAGACAGCGCCGACGAACAGAAAUAUGUGUCUGCAUUGACUAAAAAAUCCGUUUGGAUUGGUUUGAACGACAAAGACACUGAGGGUUCCUGGAAGUGGGUUGAUGGAAGUUCUCCAAGUUUCACGUACUGGUCAACAGCUCAACCUGAUAAUGGUGGUGAAGACUCACAGUGGGGAGAGGAGGACUGUGCAAAUAUCCUAAGCAGUGAUCCAAGGCUCUGGAAUGAUCUUUCAUGUUCUGUCUCUAUGCAGUGGAUCUGUGAAAAAGUACCAACUAAAGUGUAGUAAAAAUAUGAAUAACUUUUAUAGAACUGUUGUUGGGUUUGAGUUUUGAUUCUAGUUUCCACUGUUCUCUUUUUAUUUUACAGUGUCUUACUGGCAGCUCUGUUGAUAGUAAAGUUACUGUAGCCACCAGUGCUCUAGUUAAAUACUCACAACAGGACUACCUGUAAACUACUGCCACGUGGUUAACAGUGGUACCAUACUGGCCACAGUGCUGCCAGUAAGGCACUGGAGAUACUAGAAUUCAAGAAAAAAUAAAAUAGAAAUCAUUGCUA